AAGACAGAGAUCAUGAACAUGAAAGUUCUCUGACUUCCUCUCUAUGCACCCUUGAGACUUUUACCCACAACUUCACUGAGAGCAGCUGCAAAUGUCCUUUGGAUGGGGAGGCCCUGCCACCAGAAGCCAUCAUCACGAUAAAAAACUGAGGCGAAAGCUAGCAAACGACUUCCCUGUGGAUACCCAGCUGACUAGUGCCAUGCAGAAUCCAGAUCUUCCAGAUUCCAGCCCUGUCAUCAGCCAAAAGGCCAUCAUUAUGAAGAAAGAAAUUAGUCUGGUCUUAUAAAUAACAUUUGAAUAUAAGCCUGCCUAAAAUAUUUGCAAGGAGCUGACCUUAAAACACCAGCAGAGCUGCACUGGAUACAGCAUAACCUUUACCUGAACCAGUCAAAAGAAGCAUCAAGAAACACACCAGAAGCCCUGAACUGAAAGGCACAUUGUCACAAACCAAGAAUAAGACUCACCUGAUUGUUAUGCAAAAACCUGAAAGUUAAGAGAGGACUUCCAUA